UACAGAGGGUGCAAGCGUUAAUCGGAAUUACUGGGCGUAAAGCGUGCGUAGGCGGUUUGUUAAGUCUGUUGUGAAAGCCCCGGGCUCAACCUGGGAAUGGCAAUGGAUACUGGCAAGCUAGAGUGUGAUAGAGGAUGGUGGAAUUCCCGGUGUAGCGGUGAAAUGCGUAGAGAUCGGGAGGAACAUCAGUGGCGAAGGCGGCCAUCUGGAUCAACACUGACGCUGAGGCACGAAAGCGUGGGGAGCAAACAGG
rnacentral:rRNA from 1 species